GCUAUUGAGUGAAAGAAUGAAGAAUUAUAAUUCCAGGAAGUUAGUUAUUACUGCCUGUCAGUGACUGGCCGCAGUUUGUUUCUGGUGCGGUUGGAUGUGCACAUCGGGACCAUUAUGUCCGUUUACAAGGAUGGAGGAAGGAGCCGUGCACUGCAGGGCGGCCAAGGGUCUGCCGGGACCGAGGUCAGGCGUCUCUCCUGCUCGCUGCAGAGCAGCGGAGGCUCCGCUACUCCAAUAUCUUCUGCCUUCCACUUCCUGUGUGGGGUCCACAUCGAUUCCUAACUCCCCAGCGUCUUGCACAUCUGAUGUACACGGUUUCAGACGUGCAAGAGAGAGAAUAUGAUCUCUUGACAUGACUUGGAACCCACCCUGGUGAGAAUGGCUGCUUCUCCUGUUUCUGCCUCUCCAGUGCUAGAAUUCCAGACACAUACCUCUGCUCGGCUUUGACAUGGUUGUUGAAGGCUAAACCCAGGUCCUCAUGACUGCACCACCUUUCACAGACUGAGUCAUUGCCCCGGUCCUCUCAUUCUGUUUACAAAAGUGCUCUUUCGUCCUAGAGUCACAAAUCAGGACAACCGAGUGAUAGGUACUCUCUCACUGACAAAAUGAGCAGAGGCAAGGCAAAUUAAAGGGUAAAGGCAGGGUUAUUGGGAGUAGCUCUAGGUGAGUUCAGCGACCUCACAGGAGGGGGUCAGUGAAGUGGCCAUGCAGAGGGAGACUGAGAAGUGGGGGUGGGCAGAGAGAGAAGGCAUGCACAGAGAGGAACGAGGAAAUUCAGAGAGAGAGAGAGAGACAGACAGACACACAGACACAUACCGAGAGAACCCUAAAUGUCUGGAUUAUACAGUGAAGAGCCUCUAAGGGAGAGGAAGCCCCGCCCCUGGGCUGGAAAGACCAGGGUAGAGCGCUGGGUAUGCGCUGUAACAAGUAGGGAGUGAGGGAUGCUGGGACAACCUGGAGGCCAGGUCUGCUUUGGUUAAAAAAUGCCCCUCAGCUGCUUGUCCUGGUCUGAAUGUCAACACGUCAGGUUGUUUGCUGUAGUUUUGUCCUUUGACAUCUCCCUCAGUAGAGCACACCUGGCUCGGGCUUGCGGUUCUGACCUUCUCUGCCAGCCCAGGGGUUGACACUGAAAGGACGCCAUUCGGCAAACAGAAAGACCAAAGCUCAGUGGGGCUGGCUGGCAGGCUGUGCGACGGAUCUGCUUGACAGAAGAUGUAUCUGAUGAGCUGAGGGAAUCUGAUCCAUGGUCCGGAUCAGAGUGCUCGCUGCAUUCUCCUGAACCAGGUUGCUCUGUUAUAGGUAAAGACGACUGAGAGUUCUAGUCCAUAUCUCUGAACAAAAAUUUAACAGAGCCACACUGAAAACAAUGAUAUGCAAAUUUUGGGGUGUCUUUGAGUUUGACAGAGGCCUUCUUGGCUCUUAAUGAGCUUAUCUUGUUGGGUGGCGCAGCCACCAAAGCCACGCUGAACCGGUGGAUUUGUGGGCUUUGUCUCCUGAAUUCAAAGGAUGAAAUUCAUGGACCACAGAGGAUAAAUUGUAGCAAGAAGUUCAUUAUCGAAUCCAAUAAAGAGGUAGAGUUCUGAAGAGCUGAGCUCUGGUCCCAUGUUUUCAGGGCAAGCACUAACUGCUGAGCCAUCUCCCUAGGCCCUCGGA